rnacentral:tRNA from 1 species
ACGAGUGGCUGAAGGAGCACGCCUGGAAAGUGUGUAUACGGCAACGUAUCGGGGGUUCGAAUCCCCCCCUCACCGCCA